rnacentral:lncRNA from 1 species
AUAGGGAAGAAUUUGUUUUUAGGAAGAUUUGUGAUGGGAAAAUCAAAACCUUUUUGUUCACAAUUUGCAGAUCUUUAUGAAGUUUCCAUUCUAAAAAAUAUCACCAUCUCAGCAAUCCUUGACAAUUGUUUUUCUUCUUCUUUGUCUUAGGAUAUGAACUUUCAUCGCAACCUCACAGAUUAGGAAACUAAGAGUCUUGAAAGGCUUAUGUCUUCACUCACCCUAAUCCAUUUAUCUCCUUUUAUCUUAGAUACGAGAGCUUGGCCACUAUCCUCCUUAGGUUUAUUCUCAAUAAAAUCUUUCUUUUUUGCCUCCAAUUUAUUAUUUUCAGGUUUGUUGUUUCCGACCAGAUUUGCAUGAAACUCAGGCUUAAGCUUUUGCAUAGUUAAUCGUGCACAAGAAAGUGAACACCAAUGACAUGUUACAGUUGAGAAGAUCUUACAAAUCCCUUAACCCUGAUCAUUGCAUCUUAUGUAUGGUACAAGUCAUUUAGUCUAACCAAGAUGGAUUGAGUUCCACCUAAGAACAUAUACGACAUUGUGAGUGUUUAGUUAAGUUGGCAAUUCUAGACAAAAUUUCUCUCCUUCUUUGGCAAAUUCAAAAGCGUGGUCUUUGUCAUCUUCAGGCCUGUUUUCAAUGAAAUCUUUUUUCUUGACCUUGUCAAAAGUCUCAAAUCCUAUCUUGUUCCUUCCGGCCAAGUUCUUGUGGAGUUCAAAAGCCCCCUCAAAGGUUAAGGCCCUCGCUUGGUUAGUAGCACAUGGGAAGGUAAACACCAAUGACAAGUUGCAAUUGAGAAGACCCUACAAAUCCCUCUAUCCUCAAUGGUGCAUUCUUUGCAAAGGAAAUGGAGAAUCGAUAGACCACCUUUUUCUUCAUUGCCCUGUUACCAUUGGACUCUGGCACAAGUUGUUCAAUCUAGCAGGGUUGGCUUGGGUUCCUCCAAGGAGUAUUGAGGACAUGUUGGUUAUUGCUUUUAAAGGAUUGGGGAACUCAUUAAGAGGCAAGACACUUUGGCAAAUCGCUUGCCUUACUUUGUUAUGGAUGGUAUGGCAAGAGAGAAACAAUAGGAUCUUUGAGGAUAAGAGGAGAACAGAAGAGAUGUUAUGGGACUUGAUUCUAUUCUAUUCCUCUCUUUGGGCCUCUUGUACUGCAGCUUUUAGAGGAGUUCCUCUAAGUGUUUUACAACUCAACUGGACUACGGUUUGCGCUCCAAAAGUUUGAGUGUUGGGGUUUUUCUGUGUUUUUAGUUUUCUUUAGUUGGGUGUUUUCUCUUUUGUUUCAGUUUUUGUUUUGUGAGAAGGACCUCUCAUCCUUCUCUUGGUUUCUUGUCUUUCUCUUGUAUCUCUUCUUUCUCCUGUAUCUUUUCCUCUAUUAAUAUACUUUUCUUCGUUUCUGAUCAAAAAAAAAAAAAAUUCUAAAUGUCUCCUAACUCGGUUUUUCUAAAUCCUUCUUCAAACUACUUGUCUAAUGAAGAUCUAAGUUGUUAAAUUUGCUAAGAGACUAAGGUAUGUAAUUGAGGUUAGAGCUGAAUGAAAUUGAAUCAACCAUAUCUUUCGAAUUAUUGUUUUUCUUAAAAUACCUUUUUAAGGAGAUAGGAAGGCUUGGGAAGCAUUUUUUUUACUAAGUGUUCAAAAUGCCUUGUUCUAGGAUUGAUCUAGCUUCAUAUUAGAUCGAUUCAGAUUGCAAUUUCUUGAUCUUAUUUCAUCUGUUAGAUCAAAGCUUUCUUUUAACUUAAAAAGAAAAAUAUCACUUCCAAAAAGACAGAGAUACUAGUAGUCGUUCCCCCUUGUGCUCUCUCUUUCUUACCAAAGUUAGGGUGUUUGUUUGCUAAGAAAAUCUCAUUUUCUUCAUGAUUUUCAAGUUGUUUUCCACAAAUUUUCUUGAGAAAAAAUAAGUUAAUUCCUUCAGUCAUUCAUCUCUUAAUUUUUAGCUAUUUGGGUUUGGAUGAAACCCAUUUUAUUUUUGUGUGGAUUCAAGAAGAGGCCGAGAUCAAACUUGGUGUGGACUCCAAGUGUGCUCCGGAAGAAGGCAUGAAGCGGAAAGUGGAAACGUGUUAGUCAAGUGAUUCAUGAAGGAUUAGUUCGCUUGAACUAGGUAAAACCUUAUAUUCAGUUUUUGUUUUUCAUAGUGGACGUUUUUUAUCGGUUGUAGGUCUAUGGUUUUUUAUUUCUUCGGAGGUUUUCCAAGUAAAUUUUGGGGUCAUUGCCCCUCUUUCUCUUAUUCUAUUCCUUAAUUUAUUUUCAGUGUUAGUUUUCAUUUAUUACUUAUGGAUAUAAGUUGAAUGGAUGAACAAUGCACUAAAAUAGGUGUGAUCUUCUAAGGAUGUCAUGAAUAUUUUUUUCUAUUUAUUUUGCUAUAGAUAUUCAGUGGAAAUUAAAAUUUGUGUUAUUGAGAAAUUAUUCUUAUGAACUAUGUUGGGGAGUGUUGAAACAUGUGCAUGUGACUUGCAUUUGAAAAUUAUUGGGAGAGUGUUGUUGCAUUCAUACUUGCAUGUGACUUCUACUCUUAUUGGAAAGUAUUUGAAGAGAUGAGAAAUUUUAUGGUAAGAUAAUAUGUUUUUGAAUUGGUUGAAAAAACCUAUUCACCCCCGUUUAGGUGUAGGCCAUCAUUGAGAUUCACCUUCACACAUAAUGACCAUCUCUUUUAGAGAUUUUGAGAGUUCUGUUAGAGGCAUGACCCUUUGAAAAAUUGUUUGCCCCACUUUGCCUUAGAUCAUGUGGUGAGAGAGAAAUGUCGGGAUCUUUGAGGAAAACUGGAGGGCGAUAGAAACAUCGUGGGAUCUACCUAAUUUCCAUUCCUUUUUAUGAGUUUUUUGUCCUACUGGAUUUAAAGGCACUCCCUCAGUAUUAUUCAAUUGGCAUUUGGCUUGUAAUUAAAAAGGGGUGGACAACAAUUAGAGAAGCUUACAGAGGGAGACGAGGGGAUUUCGCGCUGCAAUUUCGUAAAUAAGGUGUGUCCUCCUUUCUCAGCUUUAUCCGAGCAGGGUCUUCCUUUGGUUGGGGCUUUUGAUCCAAAAUUUCUUCCCGACUCCUCUGUUUCUUCUGUUCGUCCUUCUCGUAGUCAUCCUUUUUUUUUAUUCCGUUGGAGUCAAGCCUUGGCUUUCAGCGUGGUCUCUUUUCAAUUUCUCCUGUUGUUGAUCUCAGUCGUCAUGGUGGCGUGUCCUGUUCUGAAGGUGUGGCGUUUCCCCUAGAAACCUCUAACUGAAAUUUUAAAGACUGCCCUUUCCUUGGGGAAUCACUCAAUAACCCAAAGGAGCUUUGUGUCUCAGGCAAGGCUUCGUCCCCAGAGCUAGAACCUCCCACCCUCCCGUUGGAAGGUUUUCAGGUUGAGGGACUCACACCUAUGAAGAUGGUCAAGGUUCAAUCGGUUUUGGAGAGUUUGAGCAUUAGAAUUGUCAGAGAUAAUGGAAAAAGUGCGGAAGUAGAGAGCAAGAGUACUCUUUCAGCGGAUAAGGUUUAUUUCAGAAGGAAGAGGAAAAAUGACUCUGGAACCCGAUGAGAGGAUUAGGUUUGGUUGCUGGUUGUGCUGGGUUGUUUUUGUUUACAUGAAGAUCUUAAGUUGGAAUACAAGAGGAUUAGGUUCCAAGAAGAAAAUGAGGACCAUCAGAAGGUUUUUAAGUACUCAAAGUCCAGAUGUUGUGGUGCUUCAGGAAACAAAGAGAGUAAUUUGGGACAGGAGGUUUGUGAGCAGUGUCUGGAAAGGCAGAAGCUUGGAGUGGGUUGUUUUUCCUGCUUGUGGGGCUUCAGGGGAGAUUGUGAUUUUGUGGGAUUAAAAUAAGUUCAAGUGUACAGAGAAGGUGUUAGGAUCUUUCUCUGUAACUGUGAAGUUGAACUCUGGUGAGGAAGGGUCUUUUUGGUUAACCUCAAUGUAUGGCCCGAAUAAGCCUUUGUGGAGGAAGGACUUUUGGUUAGAGCUUCAAGAUCUGUAUGGUCUGACCUUCCCAAGGUGGUGUGUAGGAGGGGAUUUUAAUGUUAUCAGGAGGAUCUCUGAGAAGAUGGGUGAUUCUAGGUUAACAUUCAACAUGAGGUGUUUUGACGAGUUUAUAAGGGAGAGUGGUUUGUUGGAUCCCCCACUAAGGAAUGCGGCUUUUACGUGGUCAAACAUGCAAGUUGUUCCUAUAUACAAGAGAUUGGAUAGGUUUUUGUUUUCUUCUGAGUGGGAUUCUUUUUACUCUCAAAGUUUUCAAGAGGCCCUUCCUAGAUGAACCUCUGAUCAUAGCCCAAUUUGUUUGGAAACUAAUCCUUUAAAAUGGGGUCCGACUCCUUUUAGGUUUGAGAAUAUGUGGUUGCUCCAUCCUAAGUUUAAAGAGAAGUUUAGAGAUUGGUGGCAAGAGUGUACGGUUGAAGGUUGGGAAGGUCACAAGUUCAUGAGGAAAUUAAAGUUUGUUAAAUCAAAGUUGAAAGAGUGGAAUAUAGUGGCCUUUGGAGAUUUAAGAGAGAGGAAAAAGCACAUUCUUUCGGACUUAGGUAGAAUUGAUCUAAUUGAACAAGAAGGGAAUUUAAAUCUUGAUUUAGUAUCGGAAAGGACCUUAAGAAGAAGGGAGCUAGAGGAUUUGUUAUUAAAGGAAGAAGUUCAAUGGAGACAAAAAUCUAGGGUCAAGUGGAUUAAAGAAGGGGAUUGCAACUCUAAGUUCUUUCACAGAAUGGCCACUAAAAGAAGAAGCAGGAAGUUCAUUAAGUCUCUGAUUUCUGAGAAGGGGGAGACUUUAAGUAACAUUGAGGUUAUCUCUGAGGAGCUUGUAAAUUUCUUUGGGAAACUCUAUUCCAAACCUGAAGGUGAUUCUUGGAGGAUUGAAGGAAUUGAUUGGGUCCCUAUUUCCGGAGAGAGUGCAAUCUGGCUAGAUAGGCCUUUUUCUGAAGAGGAGGUACGAAUGGCAGUUUUCCAAUUGAAUAAGGAAAAGACCCCUGGCCCUAAUGGCUUUACUAUAGCAGUUUAUCAAGAGUGUUAGGAUCUGAUAAAAGAGGAUCUUAUGAGGGUGUUUCUUGAGUUCCACACCAAGGGGGUAAUAAAUCAAAGUACAAAUGCGACAUUCAUUGCUAUGGUGCCUAAGAAAAUCCAAACUUUUAAAAUCUCAUAUUAUAGACCUAUUAGCUUGGUUACAAGUUUAUAUAAGAUAAUUGUUAAGGUCUUAUCAAGGCGUUUACGCAAAAUUCUUCAUUAAACAAUCUCUGGCUCUCAAGGAGCCUUUGUUGAAGGGAGACACAUUUUGGAUGCUGUGUUGAUAGCCAAUGAAGUGGUGGAUGAGAAAAUAAGGUCAAGGGAGGAAGGGGUUAGUCUUCAAAAUCGAUUUUGAGAAGGCUUAUGAUCAUGUGGAUUGAGGGUUUUUAGAUCAUGUGCUACAAAGGAAGGGGUUCAGCCAGAAAUGGAGAUCUUGGAUAAGGGGUUGUUUGUCUUCAUCAAGUUUUGCAACCCUAGUUAAUGGAAAUGCAAAGGGUUGGGUUAAGGCCUCUAGAGGUUUGAGACAAGGAGACCCCCUUUCUCCUUUCCUUUUUACUCUAGUGGCAAAUGUUUUAAGUAGGUUGAUGAUCAGAGCAGAGGAAACUGGGAUAACUGAGGGUUUCUUUGUGGGGAGGGAUAGGACUAGAGUGUCUUUGUUACAGUUUGCUGAUGACGCCAUCUUUUUCUCUAAAGCCUCUAUGGAACAUCUUCAAAACCUCAAGAUUAUCCUUUUGGUUUUUGGGCAAGUAUCUGGUUUAAAAAUCAACUUAGAAAAAAGCACCAUUUCAGGUAUUAACACUAGGCAGGAGUUGUUGUCUAGUUUGGCCUCAAUUUUGGAUUGCAGAGUGUCAGAGUGGCCUUUGUCUUAUUUAGGUCUUCCAUUAGGAGGGAACCCAAAUACAAUAGGCUUUUGGGAUCUGGUGGUUGAGAAAAUUUCGAGGAGGCUAGAUUGUUGGAAAAAGGCCUUUUUGUCUUUGGGAGGGAGGAUUACUUUAAUUCAGUCUUGUCUGUCUCACAUCUCUAGCUACUUCCUCUCCCUCUUUAAAACCCCAGCAUCAAUAGCUUCAAAGAUUGAGAAGAUGCAAAGGGAUUUUCUUUGGUCUAGGGUGGGGGAAGGGAAGAAAGAUCAUCUUAUCAGAUGGGAGGUUGUUAGUAAACCAAAGAAGUUGGGAGGUUUGGGUUUUGGGAAGACUUCUAUGAGAAAUAUUGCUCUCUUAGGGAAAUGGCUUUGGAGGUUCCCUAGAGAAAGGAGUGGUCUUUGGCAUAAGGUUAUUGCGAGUAUAUAUGGGACACAUCCUAAUGGAUGGGACGCCAACAUGGUGAUUAGAUGGUCACACAAAUGUCCUUGGAAGGCUAUUGCUCAAGUUUUCCAGGUUUUUCCCCUUUUGUCCGCCUAGUGGUGGGUAAUGGGGAGAGAAUUCGUUUUUGGGAAGAUCUUUGGUGGGGUAACCAAACUUUGUGUUCUCAAUUUGCUGAUCUUUACAGAGUUAUUUCUAUGAAAAACCUCACUGUCUCAAAUGUCUUUGGCAAUUCCUUUCCACUGUCUUUGAAUUUUAACUUUCGCAGUAAUCUUACGGAUUCAGAAAUUGAUCUCCUUCAGAGAUUAAUGUCCUCCCUUAGUUCUAUGUUUUUCUCUCCUUCUUUGGCAGGUUCAAGAGCGUGAUCUUUGUCUUUGUCAGGAUUGUUUUCAGUGAAAUAUUUUUUCUUAACCUUGUCAAAAGUCUCAAAUCCUAUCUUGUUCCUUCCGGCCAAGUUCUUG